CACUCUCGGCAACGGAUAUCUCGCUCUCGCAUCGAUGAAGAACGUAGCAAAGCGAACUUUGUGAAUUGCAAAUCGUGAACCAUCGAUCUAUUGAACGCAAUUUGCCCAAGCCGUUAGCGACGGCACGCUGCGGCGUCA
rnacentral:rRNA from 1 species